rnacentral:rRNA from 1 species
CCUACGGGUGGCAGCAGUGAGGAAUAUUGGUCAAUGGACGCAAGUCUGAUCCAGCCAUGCCGCGUGCAGGAAGACGGCUCUAUGAGUUUUAAACUGCUUUUGUACGAGGGUAAACGCAGAUACGCGUAUCUGUCUGAAAGUAUCGUACGCAUAAGGAUCGGCUAACACCGUGCCAGCAGCCGCGGUAAUACGGAGGGUUCAAGCGUUAUCCGGAUUUAUUGGGUUUAACGGGUGCGUAGGCGGUCGCAUAAGUUAGAGGUGAAAUCCGGAGGCUCAACUUCGGAAUUGCCUCUGAUACUGUUCGGCUAGAGAGCAGAUGCGGUAAGUGGAAUGUAUGGUGUAGCGGUGAAAUGCUUAGAGAUCAUACAGAACACCGAUUGCGAAGGCAGCUUACCAAGCUGCUUCUGACGUUGAGGCACGAAAGCAUGGGGAGCAAACAGGAUUAGAUACCCCAGUAGUC